GCUCCAGUGGCACAAUGGUUCAGCACUCGGCUGCUAAACAAAAGGUUGGUGGUUCAAACCCACCCAGCAGCU
rnacentral:tRNA from 1 species